GGAGAUGAGGUGCUUGCACCUUAUCUUAGCGGCGGACGGGUGAGUAAUGCUUAGGAAUCUGCCUAUUAGUGGGGGACAACAUUCCGAAAGGAAUGCUAAUACCGCAUACGUCCUACGGGAGAAAGCAGGGGAUCUUCGGACCUUGCGCUGAUAGAUGAGCCUAAGUCGGAUUAGCUAGUUGGUGGGGUAAAGGCCUACCAAGGCGACGAUCUGUAGCGGGUCUGAGAGGAUGAUCCGCCACACCGGGACUGAGACACGGCCCAGACUCCUACGGGAGGCAGCAGUGGGGAAUAUUGGACAAUGGGGGGAACCCUGAUCCAGCCAUGCCGCGUGUGUGAAGAAGGCCUUAUGGUUGUAAAGCACUUUAAGCGAGGAGGAGGCUACUGAGACUAAUACUCUUGGAUAGUGGACGUUACUCGCAGAAUAAGCACCGGCUAACUCUGUGCCAGCAGCCGCGGUAAUACAGAGGGUGCGAGCGUUAAUCGGAUUUACUGGGCGUAAAGCGUGCGUAGGCGGCUUUUUAAGUCGGAUGUGAAAUCCCCGAGCUUAACUUGGGAAUUGCAUUCGAUACUGGGAAGCUAGAGUAUGGGAGAGGAUGGUAGAAUUCCAGGUGUAGCGGUGAAAUGCGUAGAGAUCUGGAGGAAUACCGAUGGCGAAGGCAGCCAUCUGGCCUAAUACUGACGCUGAGGUACGAAAGCAUGGGGAGCAAACAGGAUUAGAUACCCUGGUAGUCCAUGCCGUAAACGAUGUCUACUAGCCGUUGGGGCCUUUGAGGCUUUAGUGGCGCAGCUAACGCGAUAAGUAGACCGCCUGGGGAGUACGGUCGCAAGACUAAAACUCAAAUGAAUUGACGGGGGCCCGCACAAGCGGUGGAGCAUGUGGUUUAAUUCGAUGCAACGCGAAGAACCUUACCUGGCCUUGACAUACUAGAAACUUUCCA
rnacentral:rRNA from 1 species